GUCUACGGCCAUGCCACCAUGAACAAGCCCGAUCCCGUCUGAUCUCAGAAGCUAAGCAGGGUCGGGCCUGGUUAGUACUUGGAUGGGACACCACCGCCUAGGAAGACCAGGUGCUGUAAGCG
rnacentral:rRNA from 1 species